rnacentral:rRNA from 1 species
UGAGUAAUGUCUGGGAAACUGCCCGAUGGAGGGGGAUAACUACUGGAAACGGUAGCUAAUACCGCAUAACGUCGCAAGACCAAAGUGGGGGACCUUCGGGCCUCACACCAUCGGAUGUGCCCAGAUGGGAUUAGCUAGUAGGUGGGGUAAUGGCUCACCUAGGCGACGAUCCCUAGCUGGUCUGAGAGGAUGACCAGCCACACUGGAACUGAGACACGGUCCAGACUCCUACGGGAGGCAGCAGUGGGGAAUAUUGCACAAUGGGCGCAAGCCUGAUGCAGCCAUGCCGCGUGUAUGAAGAAGGCCUUCGGGUUGUAAAGUACUUUCAGUGGGGAGGAAGGCGUUAAGGUUAAUAACCUUGGCGAUUGACGUUACCCGCAGAAGAAGCACCGGCUAACUCCGUGCCAGCAGCCGCGGUAAUACGGAGGGUGCAAGCGUUAAUCGGAAUUACUGGGCGUAAAGCGCACGCAGGCGGUCUGUCAAGUCGGAUGUGAAAUCCCCGGG